rnacentral:rRNA from 1 species
GACGAACGCUGGCGGCGUGCCUAAUACAUGCAAGUCGAACGCAGUUGCGAACGGGUGAGUAAAGCGUAGGUAACUGCCUCAUAGCGGGGGAUAACUAUUGGAAACGAUAGCUAAUACCGCAUACUGUGAGAUGGACCUGAGUUGUAUUAGCUAGUUGGUUAGGUAAAGGCUCACCAAGGCGACGUAUCAUAGCCGACCUGAGAAGGGGAUCGGCCACACUGGGGCUUGGAAACGGCCCAGACUCCUACGGGAGGCAGCAGUAGGGAAUCUUCGGGAAUGGACGGAAGUCUGAACGAGCAACGCCGCGUGAGUGAAGAAGGUUUUCGGGUCGUAAAGCUCUGUUGUUAGAGAAGCGGUACCUAACCAGAAAGCGACGGCUAACUACGUGCCAGCAGCCGCGGUAAUUC